CGGGGUAUGCUCGCCAGCGGCAAGAAGACACGGUGUCGGUAUUUCAUACCGCCGACUAGUAAUUGUACGCUGCACUCUCCUCACUUCCGAUGGUUAGCACAUAAGAGACUAGGAGUUAUACUGGUUUGGGAAGAUCCUUACGUCCAAAUUCGGUAGGAGUCAUGUUCCUUGGAUCAAGUGCACUGGGCUUACAACAAGGUGCUUGCAAGCAAGCAUUCGUGCGAUGUGUGGGUGUAUG
rnacentral:lncRNA from 1 species